AGGCUUGUAGCUCAGUGGUCAGAGCACUCGCUUGGCAAGUGAAAGACCUGGGUUCGAUUCCCAGCAGGGCUA